rfam:Ornithorhynchus anatinus chromosome 1, whole genome shotgun sequence.
CCCCUCUCAGGGUCGUGCCUGGAAAGUUUCCAGUACUCUACCAGUCCCGACUGUGGGAGGGAGAGUCAAGCAGAGGCCUACCCAUUCCAUUUCUAGCUUGGGCAGUGACUAGUGAAUGGAAAGCAAUCUGCUACAAGU